rnacentral:rRNA from 1 species
UGGGGAAUUUUGGACAAUGGGGGCAACCCUGAUCCAGCGACGCCGCGUGAAGGAUGAAGGUCUUCGGAUUGUAAACUUCUUUUAGAGGGGAUGAAUGCCUGCGUGAAUAACGCAGGGUGACAGUACCCUUUGAAUAAGCCACGGCUAACUACGUGCCAGCAGCCGCGGUAAUACGUAGGUGGCAAGCGUUACUCGGAAUCACUAGGCGUAAAGCGCAGGUAGGCGGUUCGGUAAGUCUUUUGUGAAAGCUCCUGGCUCAACUGGGAGAGGUCAAAGGAAACUACCGGGCUAGAGUUUGGUAGGGGAUACUGGAAUUCCUGGUGUAGCGGUGAAAUGCGUAGAUAUCAGGAGGAAUACCUAUGGCGAAAGCAGGUAUCUGGGCCACAACUGACGCUGAGCUGCGAAAGCUAGGGGAGCAAACAGGAUUAGAUACCCCGGUAGUCC